rnacentral:rRNA from 1 species
UGGAUCCAGACUUUGAUUAUGGCUCAGGAUGAACGCUAGCUACAGGCUUAACACAUGCAAGUCGAGGGGAAACGAUAUUGGAAGCUUGCUUCCGAUAGGCGUCGACCGGCGCACGGGUGAGUAACACGUAUCCAACCUGCCCAUCACUUGGGGAUAACCUUGCGAAAGUAAGACUAAUACCCAAUGACGUCCAUAGAAGACAUCUGAAAUGGAUUAAAGAUUCAUCGGUGAUGGAUGGGGAUGCGUCUGAUUAGCUUGUUGGCGGGGUAACGGCCCACCAAGGCGACGAUCAGUAGGGGUUCUGAGAGGAAGGUCCCCCACAUUGGAACUGAGACACGGUCCAAACUCCUACGGGAGGCAGCAGUGAGGAAUAUUGGUCAAUGGGCGAGAGCCUGAACCAGCCAAGUGGCGUGCAGGAUGACGGCCCUAUGGGUUGUAAACUGCUUUUAUAAGGGAAUAAAGUGAGUCUCGUGAGACUUUUUGCAUGUACCUUAUGAAUAA